rnacentral:rRNA from 1 species
ACGGGAGGCAGCAGUGGGGAAUAUUGGACAAUGGGCGCAAGCCUGAUCCAGCCAUGCCGCGUGUGUGAAGAAGGCCUUAUGGUUGUAAAGCACUUUAAGCGAGGAGGAGGCUACUUUAGAUAAUACCUAGAGAUAGUGGACGUUACUCGCAGAAUAAGCACCGGCUAACUCUGUGCCAGCAGCCGCGGUAAUACAGAGGGUGCAAGCGUUAAUCGGAUUUACUGGGCGUAAAGCGCGCGUAGGCGGCUAAUUAAGUCAAAUGUGAAAUCCCCGAGCUUAACUUGGGAAUUGCAUUCGAUACUGGUUAGCUAGAGUGUGGGAGAGGAUGGUAGAAUUCCAGGUGUAGCGGUGAAAUGCGUAGAGAUCUGGAGGAAUACCGAUGGCGAAGGCAGCCAUCUGGCCUAACACUGACGCUGAGGUGCGAAAGCAUGGGGAGCAAACAGGAUUAGAUACCCUGGUA